CUACGGAGGAUGCAAGCGUUAUCCGGAUUUAUUGGGUUUAAAGGGUGCGUAGGCGGAUGAUUAAGCGUGAGGUGAAAUGCCACUGCUCAACAGUGGAACUGCCUCGCGAACUGGUUGUCUUGAAUGCUCCUGCCGUGGGAGGAAUGUGUGGUGUAGCGGUGAAAUGCAUAGAGAUCACACAGAACACCGAUUGCGAAGGCAUCUCACGAAGGGGUGAUUGACGCUGAGGCACGAAAGCGUGGGGAUCAAACAGGAUUAGAUACCCUGGUAGUCCACGCAGUAAACGAUGAUGGCUAACCGCUGGGCUUAUCAGUUCAGUGGCCAAGCGAAAGCGAUAAGCCAUCCACCUGGGGAGUACGACCGCAAGGUUGAAACUCAAAUGAAUUGGCGGGG
rnacentral:rRNA from 1 species